AUAUUAUAAUUACAACAAAAGCCAAAAGAUGAUGGUCUUUUGCGCAGUGAAUUCACCGGCAGUCCCGUAAUUAUUGUCAACUUUGAUGUUUCUCUGUUUUUUUCCUCUGUCAAGCAAGUCUUCAGCUGGUCCAGAUCUAUUCUCCUUGGUCUAAAAGAGAGCGUGGUGAGGAUAUGGGAACUAAUCAUUCGUAGGUUUUAAUCUCAGGGAAAACGCAUAUGGUUCAAGGUAUCUGGAGCGGACAAAGUGGCGACGGUGGCUCUCUGCUAUGCUCUACGCCGUUUCUCUUAGGCAGCAUAGAGGCCAGUUCAUGGUUGCCAGCAGAUCAGAGUGGUGGCUAUCACCAAGGCCAGACCAGUUUCGCUAAUUAGACAAGUCACCGGUAUGGGUAGCCGUUGUUUGGGCAAAAACUACGCUCAGGAAGUCAUAGAAAAAGCACCCCAGUUUUCAAAGGAUAUCGAGUGGGAUUUCUUGGGCAAUUUAUAGAGUAAUCAAGUUAAAUCUUUACUAGGGAAGUGAAGAAGAAAAGCGAGAUUACUACAAAUAGAAAGGAGUUGGAUGGAACAACAUAAUUGUUUAGUUAUUCUUCAUUAGGAGAAUAUCUAUGAAUAUCUAAGUGGUAUGAUUACUAAUUCAUUACUUGAGUUUCAACAUUGAAGUUAUAUAGAUUUGAGUAGAAAUUAUUUUGAAGGGAAUCAUUUUUUAUAUUUCAUUGGGUCCCUAAGCAAAUCGAAAUACUUGAAUCUCUGAUAAUUUUUUAACUGUAACUCUAUCAAAUUAGCUCUGUAACCUCUCAAGAUUUUAAUCUUUUGAUCUUAUUUAUAAUUCUAGUGUUAAUUUUGAAAGUUUUGACUACCUCUUUAACUUUUUUUCUCUUGAACAUCUUGACCUGAAUAAAAAUGAUCUUAGUCAAGCCAUUAACUGGGUGCAAACGGUUAACAAGUUUUCUCUUUUAAAAGUUUUAUUGUUAAAUGAUUGUUAUCUUUAAAACAGAUGUCCUUUCUUUCGUUCUUUUAUAAUUUCUUCUAAAUCCCUUGUUGUCACUCUCUCUCUUACAACCAUAUUGCUUCUACUUUCAAUUGGUUGUCCAAACUUUAGUAACAACCUUGUUUAUCUUGAACUUGGAUAUAAUUGGGAUAUCAAUCUUGAAAAUCUUAACGGUUUUUUUUUAUCUUUCUUCUUUAGAGUCUUGACCUGAGUGGAAAUAAUCUUAGUCAGACCAAUGAUUAGUUACUAGUGCUUGCCAAACUCCCUCACGUACAUGAAUUGUAUUCAAGUUUUUGUAGUUUUUCAAAUGUCAUUCCUCUAUCUAUUUCUCUUGCAAGUUUUUUUAAAUCUCUUGCAGUCAUUGACUUCUCGAAAAACUAUUUUACUUUAAUAUUCAAUAGGUUGUCUACCAUCAAUAAUAACUUAACUGUUCUUGACCUAUUAAAUAGUUUAUUACAAGGUUGAAGAAACAAAAUGAUUGUAAGAAAGAGAAAUAGGAUAGUCAUUUAACUUAAAGACUUUUAAAAGAAGAAACUUGUUAAUUGUUUGCACCUAGUUAGUGGCAUGACUGAGAUCGUUUUCACUCAGGUCAAGAUAUUCAAGAGAAAAGAGGUUAAAAAGACAAUUAAUACUUUCAAAAUUAACAUCAGAAUUAUAAUUUUGAUAAAAAAAAUUGCAAUCUUAAGAGGUUGCAAAGCUGAUUUGAGAGAGUUCCAGUAUAAAAAUUGUCGAAGAGAUUCAUGUAUCUUAGUUUGCUCAGAGACCCAACAAAAUAUGAGAAAUGAUUCUCUUCAAAAUGAUUUACACUCAGAUCCAUGUAACUUAAAUGCUGCAACUCAAGUAAUAACUUAGUGAUUGUUCCACUUAGAUGUUUAUAUGUAUUUUUAUGAUGAAAAUCAAGAAGAGUAACAUAAUUAGUUACGUUGUUGCAUCCAACUCCUUUUUAUUUAUAGAAAUAUCUCCUCAUCCUUAAGUAGAAAGAAUACCACCAUACUCAUAGGCACCAUCACUAAUUAUCAUAAAAAGUCUUACAUAAACUAGACAAGACAAUUAUUAUAUGUUUGACAAAAUGUGGCAAAUUUUCUAAUUAAACUAUGCCAAAGUUGAAUUUUCAAAAAAUAAAAUAGUAAAUAAUCAAAUUCUCUUAAGUAUAGUAUGAUGACUAAGUUAGUCAACUUCAGAAAUUACGUAACUAUCUUACAAACAAAGCACCAUUUCAAUUUGCUUAAUGUGUUAAUAAAUUCGAAAGGAAUAUAUAUAAUUCCCAACUUUGAAUGAAGAUCAAGAAGAGUGACAAGACUAGUCGCUACAAAUGAAAAAUUUUAAUAGAAACUUUUAUGGUGUUUAAAGAGUAAUUAAUAAUAUUGUAUUAGUUACUACUUUACUUUUGGGAUCCAUUUUAUAUUCUCUUUUAUUUAUAAAUUUGUCUCUUUCUUUGAAGUGAGCUACAAAGAGUAGCUAAUAGCGUGUUACUAGUUAUUUUUUUGGGCAUUGUUAUAAACCUUUUUUGGAUUAUUUCUCUCAAAUUUAUCUAUUUUUUUCUUAUGAAAAUUAAGAAUAGAAGUAAUAAGAUUGACAAUGUGGCAAAAACAAAAACAAGUUGAGAGGGUUUCAAAUAUAUAUAUAUAUAGAAGAAUCAAACUGGAAUUUUGUAUGAAAUUGAGAGCUUAAUCAUGUCUUAUUGUACCCAAGCUUAGAGAGAAUGUAGAUUUAAUGUCAAGUUAAAUGAUUAUUAGAAGGAACUGCAUGAAAAUUAUGUCCAGAGAUUUAAUUAGAUUUUUAAUAGGCCAAUUUGAUUUAAUCAUGGGUCAAAGUAAAAGUUUAAUUGUGUUUAAGAAUUAAUUUGGGUCAAAUUAAAAGAUUUAAUUAGGUGCAGGGACUUAAUUAUACUUUUAAUGGGUCAAACUAAUUUUAUUAGCGAUUUAAUUGGUGAAAAAUUAAAUUUGAGAGCUCAAUUUGGGUUUAAUUGAGAAGAUUAGAAUUUUAGAGGACCAAACUUAAUUUUUUCGAAGUCAAUUGAUUGAAAUCAGGGGUAAAAUUGCAAGAAAAUCAAAGUUUAAGGUCAAUUAAGGGUUAAAUUGAAGAAAUUCAUAGUCAAUGAUCUUUUUCAAAAAGACGCUUAACUUCGGGGAUAUAAUUUGUUUGAAAACAUGGGUGAAAUUGAAGAAAAUUAAAAGUUUAAUGAUCAAUUGAGAGUUAGUUUGCAUAAACCCAAAACAAAUUAUCAAAAUAAAAAAGACGUUGAAAUUCAGGAUUGAUAUUGGAAUUUGAUGAGGGUAAAAUUACAUAAAAUUAAAAAUUUUAAGUCAAUUAAGCGUGCCGGUAUGACCAAAAGAAAUAAAAAACUAAAUGACUAAAUUGAACUUUAGUCAAAUCUCUAAUUAAACCCCUAAGUAAUCAAAAUAGUGUCGUUUCAUUUAAAUGAAACGACUCAUUUUGAUCAAAAUAACAUCGUUUUGACCAGUAGAAACAACAUAAAAGAGAAAAGGAGAAAGCCAAGUGACUUGUCUAGUUACUGUUCAUCAUCUUCUAUAUUUAUACCUGAAAAGGUUGCUCAGGUUGCUAUUUUUUUAGAGCAGUUAAUGAUUUGUCUCUCAAUUAAAUCAGACAAACCAUACAUCAUUAUGAUGGCUUGACAUUGUACUAUAUUCUAAUGUAAUUCUUAUUGGCUAA